GGUAUAGUUAUAUCAGUACUUUAAAAUCUAUGCUUUGUGUUUCUUUUCUUAUGGUAAACUUUGAAUUACCAGUCACCUGUGUUCCGGAUGAUGGUAACUUACCGAAGUUAAGAGGAUAUAAGUAUGGUGAAAAAUGAAGCAAUCCGAUACCAACAGUUGAUUCAUUGAGACCCCAGCCCAGACAAUACCAUUUCAAAGGAUUAUCUAGAAGUUGCCUAACGAUUGACCAAUUAAAGGCUUUCUUGUGAGUGCUUGAGAAAACUCAUACCAGAAGCUUUUGCCAUCAAUCUUGCAUACUAAACGCCUUUG